AUGAUUUUAUUUCGGUUGAAUAAUCAAAGAACAAUACUCGGAGAUCGGACCAAUGUGGAGGCCUGUGGUAGUUAUGGUGAGUUAUUAGUACACACGCUAUUUUCAUACAUGUAUUACAUCUAUUUUAUUGUGCAUUUAAUAAUGAAUAAUAAAAAAGACCAGCCAUCCCUAACCCCUGUAUACUUUUGUAUUUUCUGUAGUUUUUUUAUUGGUUUACGUAUAGUGCCUAUCGUGAAUAGUGUGAAACAGUGGACCCCUGGAUCAAACCGUCUAACCAAGAAAAACCUUAAAAGACCGAACCGUGCUCUGCCUCUACCCUGCUCGCCGCUAACAGUGGUGCAACAGCAGAUCCCGUAUAAAAAGGGACGCAAGGACACCGCUGAUAGUGUUUUAACUCCAGAGAAUUUUAACUUGGUUCUCCAGGCAGUCAUAAACCCUCAAAUCGCGCAGCCAGGGACCGUAUGGUCUGAGUCCAAACAACAAGUGGUCGGGGCGGUGGAUGUGCAUGUGUCUGCGCCGCCUGCAGAGACCAUUACUGUACAGCCGGAUGGAUGCAUUCAGCAUGUCCUUGGUGACCCUCAGUAUGCACCACUACCAGAACUGACCGAUGAGGAUAUCGAGGCUCUCGCCGACAUUCCGUUGUGGCCCUCAGCGCUGUUGGAACAGCUCGACUUCACUCCAGCUCAGUGGAUAGACCCUCCAGCUACUUCCGUAGGGGGUACCGCCAGGGCAGAACCAGUAAACCAUCAGCCUGCAGCCCCCGCCUCUGGAUCACUACCCAUCAUCCAGGCCUCUAUCCACGAUCCGCCAGGCACUGUGAGUCCCUACGCCUACGGGGCAGUGGCUACGCUCCUACCUGUCGGUGCAGCGGUUGCUGGUGAAUACAUUGCGGGUGGGCCAUGUACCAAAUGUUGUAAGGAUUGUGCUGAUAAAUUAACCUUGGUAACUACAGCGGCUGAUGUAAAUGCCUGAACCAUUGGUCGUCAGUGUAAACUGGUUGCAUUGUCUGUGAAACGUAAUGACAUCAGAUUUCAGGCUAUCGAAGAGCAAACGAAGCAGUCACUCAAGACACUCGGGGCCAUCAAGGCCGAGAUAGCGCGUGAUCGUCGUGCUAUUGCAUCCCAGAAAGCCGAGCUAGUGCGUUAUGGUCUGGCUAUAGAAUCAAUACAGCAGAAGAAUUUGGCUGUCGAGGCAGCAGUGCGUGUUAACACUCUGGCUUUGGAUAGGGGGCCUAAGAUAUCUAAUAUAGCUCGGAAAAUAUGGCUAAUUGAAGAUACGGCGCAGGAUAACAUCAGGGCCUACAAGGCCCUGUCUGCCCGGAUGACUGUUAUGAAUAAUGCACUGGAUAAGCUUACGAUGAAUCGUUAGUAUUUGAUUUGUGGUUUUGGGGUGUUCUUUUUAUUUUUUGUUUGUUUGCUUUUUUCGUUUAUUCUGUGGAGAGGGUAUUUUUUUUUGUUUUAAACUGAACGUAAUAAAACUUUUUUCUUUUAAUAUCUGACUAACUUUUUUUUUUUUUUUUUUUUAUCUAUCGGCAUAAAAACUAUAGCUGAACACAAUGCAUAAAGCUAUUAGCCCCAGAAAAAGGAAAUUCAAAUCUGUAGACGUAAAUCCCAAGAGACGGCGUAGAUCUGAUAGCGGGGGUAGCAUUAUGGAUGUAGAACUUGAAGAGAUGGCUAUGAGGUAUGAUGCAACCGGCGAUACGUCUCAUUUGCUGGCUGUAGGACGUGUGGGGGGUGGGGGCAUGUGUGCAGAAGGUGGUUUAGACAUGCGGGAAAUACGCGCCAACAUAGCUAGAACUAGACGUGUGUUAAUUGCUGCUGAUGCAUGGGGGGGUAGAAUGACGGAUGCACUAGACAGGGCUGCUAUGAUAAAUGUUUCGAACGAUCCAUGUGUAGAUUUAGACACACGGGAUUUAGACACACGGGAUGUGUUGUAUGCGGCGGCAUACACCAGAGAUGUGCUUAACACUGUCGAUGGGUGGCUGGCUAGUGCACAAGAGAGGCUAGACAUAGCCGCUCAGAUAGACAUAACAUCGUCGAUAGAUGUAUUGCAUGUGUCGCAACGUGACGAAGGGGAUGGUGAGGGUUUUCAGGAACCCCUGGCUGCUGCAGGGGGUAGGACUGGUGACUCUAUAGAGUCGAAUAUACAGGACGGUGGCGGUGUUGGUGGUGGUGGUGGUGGUGGUGGCGGUGUUGUUGAUGUUGAUGGUGACGAUGGCGGUGCUGAUGUUGUUGGCUGUGGUGAUGAUGAUGGUGGUGAUGAUGGUACACCUGCGCCUAUGGCGGCGGGUGAUGAUGAUGACGAGUUGCAUACUAGAUUAUUUCCCCGCUUUAACGGUUUUGAGGUUAGACAGACCAUUGAUCUGAGAAGUAUAUCCCUUGUAAACGUGCAAGAGGUCCCUGAUUUGAUCAGGGAGAGGCUGUCGGGGGUCAUAACA
ensembl:lncRNA